rnacentral:rRNA from 1 species
AUUGAACGCUGGCGGCAGGCCUAACACAUGCAAGUCGAGCGAGCGGCGGACGGGUGAGUAAUGUAUGGGGACUGCCCGAUAGAGGGGGAUAACUACUGGAAACGGUGGCUAAUACCGAAUACUAUCGGAUAACCCAUAUGGGAUUAGCUAGUAGGUGGGGUAAAGGCUCACCUAGGCGACGAUCUCUAGCGGGUCUGAGAGGAUGAUCGUCCACACUGGGACUGAGACACGGCCCAGACUCCUCCGGAGGCAGCAGAGGGGAAUAUUGCACAAGGGGCGCAAGCCUGAGGCAGCCAUGCGGCGUGUAUGAAGAAGGCCUUAGGGUUGUAAAGUACUUUCAGCGGGGAGGCGUUACCCACAGAAGAAGCACCGGCUAACUCCGUGCCAGCAGCCGCGGUAAUUC